rnacentral:lncRNA from 1 species
GGAGUUUCGAAAAGACUCUUCGGGUCGCCCUAAUCGAAAAAAGGGCUCCGGCAUGCGCGCAUUAAAUGCCAACAUAUCUGAGGACGGUUGCGUGCGGGCGUCAGGGGGAGAACUUCGGCUGCGACGACCUCUCUGUACUUCCUUCAUUCGAAAUUCAAACUCGAAAGUAGGGGGACUGGUGUUGGGUAUAAAAUACCCUCG